AUCAGCAUCCGUUAAGAAAAAGAUUUUAGGGAAAAAAGUGACAGAGCCGGGGCUUGAACUUUGAUGUCUAAGUAUCAUUUGAGUAAAGUCAAGUCUACAAAAUUUUGCUGAACUUGUGAUCUUUCUCAGUGUACUGCAUUUUUUGAGAAGCUGGAAGAACCUGCUUUCGAUGUCCAUUAGUUGUGCUAGUCUCACCCUCUGGAAUUUUGCUUCGUAGGGAAUAUAAGUCAUGUCCAAAACCUCAAGGCUCGACAAUUUGGAAAACAGAGCCGUUGAAACCUCUAUUUCUUAGAGUUAAAACUUGAAUCAUGUUCAAGAAAUCAACUACGAUGGUAGUUGCCCAUUGAAGUUUUUCUAAUCUAGUUUGAUGCUUCCUAGUUGCCCAUUGAAGUCGUUAAUUAACAAGAUCCUUUGGCAGAUCUCCCAUGGAAAUAGUUCCACUCAUAUCAUACUAUAUAUACAUACUAAAAGUGGGAACAUAGUAAGAGCCUGCUCGGAAAGCCACGUAGGAAUUAGAUUUGAGUGUAAUUUCGUGUAAUUAUACAAUUUGGCAUUCUUGUUUGCCCAAGUAAUUACUUGGGCAGUAUGAAAUUUGGUAUAAUUGGAUAGGUGUAAUUAUAUUUUCCAAUUCAAGGGAAAAGUGAGAUUGGUGGUAA
rnacentral:lncRNA from 1 species